ensembl:lncRNA
AUUACUCCUUGUAUUUAAAUUUUUCUAUAUGCGACAGUUGCAGUCUGUAUGUAGAAACGUUUUAAACCUUAUCCUAUGCUUUUCUUGAUUUUCUAAGAUGAUGCAGUUUUACUUUGUGAUAAUCCUCGUUCUAACAGUUACUACAGGAGUUGAUUUAAAGCAUGCAAUUACCCUUAAAACAACACCUCUUUCAUUUAGGUAGGUUUUCUUUCUGACUUUAGUGAUGACUAAUAUGAAGGCACACUUUGAAAUGGGGCUUUUCUAAAACACCCACUGAUUAGGGUGUUCAGAAUCAGCUCUUGUACUUCGUAGAACGAUCUUAGCCCCUUAUAUUGUGUCCCAACCAGGUAUAACACAGUAAGACAAGCGAUUAAAAGUCAUGCUUGAGUUGCAGUGUGUUGCGUCUGCAAAAACACAUUUAGCAACAGGACGCUUAGUCUUUUGCAUUUGUUGGUUUUUAUUUUUGUGGCAUUGUGCUCGGUAGCUCCGCCCACUGUUAACCUCAGUGGUCCAAAUUCGUUCCAUAGGUUUUGACAGGCAGGCAUGUUUGGAUGGACAAAUUCACUGGGAACUUGUCUCGAAACAGCUCUUCUCUGGAAAGAGCCUCAUUAAUAUACACUUUCUAAUCUGUACUGAGGUUUCUUCUUUGGUUUUUUUGUAAUUGGUGAACUCUUGUACAGUAUUGCGUUCUGCCUCUCUUCUUGGCAAUAUUACCCACGAGUGAUUUUUAAAACUUGUACUGCAGGUCUUGUAUUGCACAGAUGAGUUCAAUUGAUUCACGCUGACUCUUUAAUGGGAAUCAGAUAUGUUUUAUUGUUUUUAAUAAUGAAGGGAAAAUGUUUGUGUUGUUUUGAAGUAUUCCGUUUCGUUGGUGGUUUUGGGCUCAUGAGAAACUGACAGGCAAGGUAGACACUGUUUACAGAUUAGCCAAGAGAAAAUGCUGCAGUUUCACUUUUCGUAGUUACUGAACAUUUUCAGACGGAUGAAAUCAUGACUUAAGUGCAAUUAGACCAAAUAUUAUAAACAUUAGGAAACUCAUGUGUUAUUUCAAAACAGCAUUCCAGAAAGAGCCUGACAUUCCCACUUUUUGUUAGUUUUAUGUUUUUUUUCUUCUUUUUCCCUAUCAAUAUUUUGAUGCCACUUACAUAUUUGUCAGAUGCAUAUUUUUAUUUCCAUUUCAGCCCAAGUUCUUUCAUGAGACCUUUAAUAUUUCUCUGCGUUGUUGGCUCUUGGCAUUGCUGGGCUGUCUGUGUUUGGACCAGGAUUUAAUUGAACUCUUUUGGCCUCUUCCAAUCACUCAAAGCUUAAGGAGUAGAUUAUUUUUAUUUUUUUGUUCUUUUAGGUAAGAAAUAAAAUUAUUUUUUUUAUAUAUAAAUGUAGCGCUACGCUAGCAUUGGUCCAGUUAGAUUUCAACUUCCUCAAAACUGCAUCGACCUCAACGAUACCACAUGUCUGUGAAGUCCUUAGACCUCUAAUGUCAAAGAGAAGAAGUUUGGAAGGGGUAUAAACAAAUUAUGACGGCUAGUCCCCAUUGAUGACGACCCUGGUAUAAACCCACCUGGUUUUCCGGCAUUACCAACAAGUCUGAUUUAAACUAAAUGAAGAAGUGGCAGUGUGUGUAUCGAGUUUAACAGUAUUUGGUUUUGAUCACCUUAAAUUGGUUCAAAUCCAUUUGUUGUUUCCAUUUCACAAGCAUCAUCUGUUAGUAUUUUGUUUGAAGACAUCCUGUUCCUUCUUAAAAUGAGUCCCACUUUCAUGCUAUUUAUAAUCUGGUCUCAAAUCUAGUUCAUGUUAUUUCUUCCUUCCUCUGUCCCCUUUGUCCCAGAACGAUAUGGUGGCACUUUGGACCCCUAUAAGUUCACAGAGGACAUUUUGUUAUAGUUCACGUUCAGCCUGGUGCGAACUGUCUAAAAGGGCCACAGUUGCCACCUAAAGCCUUGUAGACAAAUUAAAUAUCAUUCCGACCAGGAAAAACAGCUUAAACUGGCCUGAGCUGGUCUUCUGGGCUCAAGCCAGUUGGUCUGCCAGCUUGAGAGGCCAGCUUCAGCUGGUUUAAGUUAUUACAUUGUUCCUUCACAGCCAUGGAUAAAUGAUGUGUAUAAUGGCUCUGUUAUUCAGAAUUCAGACCUGCUUCAUUAUUUUAAGUAUUAGAAUUGAAUUGAAGCAAUACUUAGCAGAUAUGAUAAUGCUUUAGCAUGAGCUAUGCAGUAGAGACUCAGUCAGCACCCUAAUGCAGUUUCAAUACUCAGAUCUCACCAGAAGUCAGCUGCACGUUCAAUAUCGCUGCACAAUCUGUGCUUUUCUAGUAACCCACAGGCUCUGUGACCUUUUUGGUAGUGGUAAGUUAUCUCACUACCAAGUCACAUAACCCGAAGCUUAUCUGAUGUCGCUUGUUUGGUGCUGUAUGUUUUUUUGUAUUUGUCAGCAAUGGUGCACUGUUCUCGGUCUUCUCAAAUGCACUGCCUUACCAGCCGUCUCUUGUCGAGAUGAAAUCUCCAAUCUGCAACCUUCGAGCCGGAGAUGGACUGAGUACGCUUUCAUUAAGAACUGAGCUACUAUCAUGUGCACUGUAAACAAGGAGAGUUGAUGCUAUGUUUGUGCCUUCCCAAUGUCUUAACUUAACUCUGGUCUGUCUUAUUAAGCUUUGUUCUCUGGGAGAGUUGUGUGUCUCCAUUUUAAUGUCAUCACGUUGUAUAUAUCUCACAGGCUUGAAAACCCUGCUGUGCUGUUGAGGGCCAUUUUGAUCCUAUCUAAACAUCAGCGCGAAACUUCACGGCAUCAUACAUACUAGAAUUAGAGAUAUUACAAAAUAAAUUUUAGUAGUAGAGUGCUGCAGUGAUUAUUUAAUUUUGAAGGUCAACCUGAAAGUUCAUCACCUUGGUUCCCUCAACAAAAACCCAAUAAGAUUUUUCCAUUGGAUUUUGGAUUAUUGCAGAAAAUAAGCUCUGUGACCGACAACAGUUUAUGAAUCUUACAUGUUUUGUUCAUCAUAAGCUUCAUAAAUGAACACGACUUUAAUGAAUUUUGAAACCUAAAUCCAAUUGCCAGAAGUAUAAAGCUAAACGUAGGCUAUAAGCGGACUACACUCAUAGCAUGACUUCAACUUCACCACCAUUAAGCUUCAACAUUUUGAAAGUUUGAGUUCGAAUAGUUUACAAGAACUCCAUUAUAAACACACCAAGGCUGUAAAAGCGACUAAUGAGUAGAUGAGUUUACUUGUUUGGUGUGAUGAUAUUUAAUUUAUGAAAAACCACUGUAGUCCCAUUUAGAUACUUGUUAACAUCUGACUUUCUUUAAGACAAGUAAAAGCUUAAAAAAAAGUUACUGAUUGAUAUGUCAUAGAAUAAAACAUGAACACAUCUUGAUCUUGUGUUCACCACAGACCUUAUUUCAGGCAUUUAACCAAAAACCUAUUCAAAAAACCCAUUGACUUCAGGACGAUGUAACCAUGAACCUGCAUUUUUAGGUUUUGGUCUACAGAAUUGCGUCAUCCCUGCAGCACUUUGUAGUUUGGUUAAUGACGUAGGAUCAAUUUUAGGGGGGAAAUGUGUAAAAUGUGACUAUCAAGCUGUGAUUUUUAUCAUUCAGGGUAAAUUUGAUGUUGUAUUUUCAAUGGUAACAGCACAGAAGGGUUUAGCACAAGCUACAUUCCUAUAGAUAUUUCGUGUCUGCAUUUCCUUCCCUCUACGGAUGUGUGAAAAUUAAUCAAAUCAUGUCCUUUCCUCACCUUUGGGUAAAUGUCAAGUAAAGCGUCCUUUUUGAAAGCAUUUAAUCUCCCUUUAAUGAUUAGGGCAUCUGCAUACUAGAUAAACACAGGGUUUCAUGUGGAAAGAGUUGGAUAAGUUGAAAUAAAUUGGGAAUUUAUUUUCCAAAAAGCACAAGCAGUCCAGCUUGCAAAAGAGUGCAUUGCAGUUCAAAUUCAGGUUUUGGUCACAUCACAUGGCACUUGCAUGAUGUGAUGAUUUCCCAUUGAAAUCAGAGGAUAUUUCUAGAGUGUGCAGACGCCCUAUUCUUUUUUGCAUUUAGGGAAUCCCGUGUUGUUCUUCCACAGAGCCUCACCUAAUCAUGUAACAUAGAUGUUUAUCACUUUGAUGCAAUGAAAUGUCCAGCACUUAUUUCCCCUCACCUGUAGUGUUACGAUAAAUGUUUUGCCAUCAUAUUGAAUCAUUUGAAACCACGUAAAACAAUCAUCCAUUUGUAUGCUUGUACAGAUAUGAAGAUAAGUUUUGUAUAGUAUUAGCUUGUCAGUAACGCCUUAAGAUGUGCACCGUUCGUAAACGCUGUGUAGAAGUGACUCCCCGCUCUGCAAGGUCGUACGAUUUCACAUAUGUUGUAUUGACUGUGGACUCCUCUGUAAAGGUGGCUCGGGUUGCUCACUGACAACAAUUAGUGACGUUGCACUUACUGAUUGUAAGACGAUAUUUUUGGGACUAGCUCAUAAUGUGUAUCUUUGUUGAACACAAUGUAAGCUUAACAUACGUUCGAAAUCUUUAAUGUUGUAUUUAUAUUUUGCUCUUGUUAGGAGGGCAGAAGUGAAGUGGUUCGAGGAAGUGGGGGAAAGUUAAAUUUAUUGGAGUCGGUGUUAGAAGAUGCUGCGUAUAAAGUGAGAUUAUCUGCAGUUAUUGAGAUAGUUUUGGCUGAGAGUCCUGGGAAAGUCCAUUUAGUCUCCCUGUUGACUUUCGGCACGAAUGGCGAGUUUUGAGCUGACAUGUCAUAGUUUGUGAAGCGUGAGAACGAAUUAACCCACUUGAGGAUAACCAUCUGGGUUACGGAUGAAUGUGCAGCUCAGUAUCAGUAACAUUUCAGUGCGUUAUAGUGGUAUCAUUGCUUCAAAUUGAUGAUUUUUUUUUUUUGAAUGUAUAUAUUGUUUUGGAAGGCUUUAUGAAGCUAACACAGACAGAACUCAGUGGCACGGCAGGCCAGAGUCAGUAAUGUCGGCUGAAAUCAGGUUUCUAACGGUUGCAAGGUUUUAAAGGAGUCAUUAUAUACUCUCGAAUUUGUCAUUGUACUUCUUGGCACUAAGUGACACUGCUUUUUAUGUGAUGUGUGACCAGUUUUAAAAGAAAUGGCAUCUUUGUUUAAUGCAUAAAAUCUGCAAAAUAUAUGCAAUGAUGUAAGUGUAAUAUUCAAUCCUCAAGUAUAAUCCAGGUUGUAUAAACUUUGUAUAGUACAUUUUAAUAUCGUAUGGCCGUACCAAUAUGUAUUAAUUCUUCUCAGAAGCCUUAGAGUCGUCUACCCAAAGUGCUCCCUUAGACUACCCUACACCUACCUGAACUUUACAAAGCAUUAAUAACUAUAUUUUGUUGCAUUUUUAUUUGUACCCUUUUUUGAAUAAAAUAGAUUUGUACUGUAUAUUUGUACCUCUCUGUGAACUACUUAAGGCUGUUUUGUUUCAUUUUUUUGUUUUCCUGUUUUAAUUCUAUGUAAGGACACAAAGAUAUUGUAUUUUUAUUGUUACAGCUAACUUCUUGG